rnacentral:rRNA from 1 species
AGAGUUUGAUCCUGGCUCAGGAUGAACGCUAGCGACAGGCCUAACACAUGCAAGUCGAGGGGCAUCGGGGCGAGGAGCAAUCCUUGCCGCCGGCGACCGGCGCACGGGUGAGUAACGCGUAUGCGACCUGCCCGUUGCAGGGGGAUAAUCGGGAGAAAUCCCGUCUAAUACCGCGUAAUGCCGCGGGGCUGCAUGGCCCUGCGGCCAAAGGGAGCGAUUCCGGCAACGGAUGGGCAUGCGUGACAUUAGCUAGUUGGCGGGGCAACGGCCCACCAAGGCGACGAUGUCUAGGGGUUCUGAGAGGAAGGUCCCCCACACUGGUACUGAGACACGGACCAGACUCCUACGGGAGGCAGCAGUGAGGAAUAUUGGUCAAUGGGCGCGAGCCUGAACCAGCCAAGUCGCGUGAGGGAUGACGGCCCUACGGGUUGUAAGCCUCUUUUGUCGGGGAGCAAAUUCCGUUACGUGUAACGGAGUCGAGAGUACCCGAAGAAAAAGCAUCGGCUAACUCCGUGCCAGCAGCCGCGGUAAUACGGAGGAUGCGAGCGUUAUCCGGAUUUAUUGGGUUUAAAGGGUGCGUAGGCGGACUGUCAAGUCAGCGGUAAAAUACGGGGGCUCAACCUCCGCCCGCCGUUGAAACUGACGGUCUUGAGUGGGCGAGAAGUAUGCGGAAUGCGUGGUGUAGCGGUGAAAUGCAUAGAUAUCACGCAGAACUCCGAUUGCGAAGGCAGUAUACCGGCGCCCAACUGACGCUGAAGCACGAAAGCGUGGGUAUCGAACAGGAUUAGAUACCCUGGUAGUCCACGCAGUAAACGAUGAAUACUAGCUGUCCGGGGCGAAUGAGCCCUGGGUGGCACAGCGAAAGCGUUAAGUAUUCCACCUGGGGAGUACGCCGGCAACGGUGAAACUCAAAGGAAUUGACGGGGGCCCGCACAAGCGGAGGAACAUGUGGUUUAAUUCGAUGAUACGCGAGGAACCUUACCCGGGCUCAAACGACACAGGAACGUACCUGAAAGGGUUCGGCUCUACGGAGCCUGUGUCGAGGUGCUGCAUGGUUGUCGUCAGCUCGUGCCGUGAGGUGUCGGCUUAAGUGCCAUAACGAGCGCAACCCCCAUCGACAGUUGCUAACAGGUCAGGCUGAGGACUCUGUCGAGACUGCCGGCGCAAGCUGCGAGGAAGGCGGGGAUGACGUCAAAUCAGCACGGCCCUUACGUCCGGGGCGACACACGUGUUACAAUGGCAGGUACAGCGGGAAGCCACCUGGCGACAGGGAGCGGAACCCGAAAGCCUGUCUCAGUUCGGAUUGGAGUCUGCAACCCGACUCCAUGAAGCUGGAUUCGCUAGUAAUCGCGCAUCAGCCACGGCGCGGUGAAUACGUUCCCGGGCCUUGUACACACCGCCCGUCA